ACUCCUACGGGAGGCAGCAGUGGGGAAUAUUGCACAAUGGGCGCAAGCCUGAUGCAGCCAUGCCGCGUGUGUGAAGAAGGCCUUCGGGUUGUAAAGCACUUUCAGUUGUGAGGAAGGUGGUGUCGUUAAUAGCGGCAUCAUUUGACGUUAGCAACAGAAGAAGCACCGGCUAACUCCGUGCCAGCAGCCGCGGUAAUACGGAGGGUGCGAGCGUUAAUCGGAAUUACUGGGCGUAAAGCGCAUGCAGGUGGUUUGUUAAGUCAGAUGUGAAAGCCCGGGGCUCAACCUCGGAACUGCAUUUGAAACUGGCAGACUAGAGUACUGUAGAGGGGGUAGAAUUUCAGGUGUAGCGGUGAAAUGCGUAGAGAUCUGAAGGAAUACCGGUGGCGAAGGCGGCCCCUGGACAGAUACUGACACUCAGAUGCGAAAGCGUGGGAGCAAACAGGAUUAGAUACCCGUGUAGCACA
rnacentral:rRNA from 1 species